rnacentral:rRNA from 1 species
GCCCAGAGCCUGAAUCAGUGUGUGUGUUAGUGGAAGCGUCUGGAAAGGCGUGCGAUACAGGGUGACAGCCCCGUACACAAAAAUGCACAUAUUGUGAGCUUGAUGAGUAGGGCGGGACACGUGGUAUCCUGUCUGAAUAUGGGGGGACCAUCCUCCAAGGCUAAAUACUCCUGACUGACCGAUAGUGAACCAGUACCGUGAGGGAAAGGCGAAAAGAACCCCGGCGAGGGGAGUGAAAAAGAACCUGAAACCGUGUACGUACAAGCAGUGGGAGCACGCUUAGGCGUGUGACUGCGUACCUUUUGUAUAAUGGGUCAGCGACUUAUAUUCUGUAGCAAGGUUAACCGAAUAGGGGAGCCGAAGGGAAACCGAGUCUUAACUGGGCGUUAAGUUGCAGGGUAUAGACCCGAAACCCGGUGAUCUAGCCAUGGGCAGGUUGAAGGUUGGGUAACACUAACUGGAGGACCGAACCGACUAAUGUUGAAAAAUUAGCGGAUGACUUGUGGCUGGGGGUGAAAGGCCAAUCAAACCGGGAGAUAGCUGGUUCUCCCCGAAAGCUAUUUAGGUAGCGCCUCGUGAAUUCAUCUCCGGGGGUAGAGCACUGUUUCGGCAAGGGGGUCAUCCCGACUUACCAACCCGAUGCAAACUGCGAAUACCGGAGAAUGUUAUCACGGGAGACACACGGCGGGUGCUAACGUCCGUCGUGAAGAGGGAAACAACCCAGACCGCCAGCUAAGGUCCCAAAGUCAUGGUUAAGUGGGAAACGAUGUGGGAAGGCCCAGACAGCCAGGAUGUUGGCUUAGAAGCAGCCAUCAUUUAAAGAAAGCGUAAUAGCUCACUGGUCGAGUCGGCCUGCGCGGAAGAUGUAACGGGGCUAAACCAU